CUACGGGAGGCUGCAGUGAGGAAUAUUGCACAAUGGGGGGAACCCUGAUGCAGCAACGCCGCGUGGAGGAUGACGCAUUUCGGUGUGUAAACUCCUUUUAUAUGUCAAGAAAAUGACGGUAGCAUAUGAAUAAGCACCGGCUAACUCCGUGCCAGCAGCCGCGGUAAUACGGGAGGGUGCAAGCGUUACUCGGAAUCACUGGGCGUAAAGGACGCGUAGGUGGGUUGGAAAGUCAGGUGUGAAAUCCUACAGCUUAACUGUAGAACUGCACUUGAAACUUCUAAUCUAGAGUAUGGGAGGGGGAGAUGGAAUUAGUGGUGUAGGGGUAAAAUCCGUAGAUAUCACUAGGAAUACCUAAAGCGAAGGCGAUCUCCUGGAACAUUACUGACGCUAAGGCGUGAAAGCGUGGGGAGCAAACAGGAUUAGAUACCCUUGUAGUC
rnacentral:rRNA from 1 species